UGCCAUGGUUUCAGUAGGAAAUAAAGGCGAAGAAAAUUUUCACAACCUUGUCGAUCAACAAAAACAACACCGGUCACAUGACCUAAUAUACGCAAGGUUCUCCUUCGAUUUAUUUCAGAAUGAUUCCGUGAUUGUUCGAGAAUUCCUUGUACUGUACAUGUACUGUACCAAUGAGACUUAAAGCAGUUCGCUACGCUUGUGCGCAGCUGCGGGCCAAUUUCCGAGAGUGAGAGAUGCCUUUGCACACAACACUCAGCCAAUAAUUGAACGGAGUUUUUCUCACUUGGACAAAAAUGCCUUGAUUUCUUGACAGGGGGUGGAAACCAGUUUCAUUCGCCUAACUCUGACCCUUUUUCAAAGUGUUAUAUACAACAACCAUCAGGUACAAAAGUUAAAAGAGCGGCCUGCGAACACACCCAGAACAACAGACAAUUUGCCAUCGUUCCUUGACGGUCAUCCACCACAAGGAGGAAAAGCAGAAAAAGCAGAAGAAAGCGAAAGAAAAUCAAAAGGGACAGCUCAUUCCCCCAAAGGAAAGGAUCCGCGCAACUUUUUUUUCUUUUUUUUUUGUUUUUUGCGCGAUACCGCUAUCGAUGAGGAACUCAGGUAAUGUUUUGCAAAAAUAUUUUUUAUGUACGGGAAAGGACGUUACACAUAAGGAUACAGGCUUGAACUGAACUGAAAGGUUCCAAAUCUCCAUUCAUGUGCAUCCCACGUUCCUGAGACCAGACGAUGGAAACAUCAUCUCCAAGUUCCCAUUGUUUCUGUGCCUCUCGUAAUGGGGAGUUUUUUUGGAAAAAAAAAAAAAAAAAACCCCUCUCGCCGAAUCGCUUUUCACACGGAUAACAUCAAACUGAAUUCGC
rnacentral:sRNA from 1 species